GAUGAAGAACGUAGCGAAAUGCGAUACUUGGUGUGAAUUGCAGAAUCCCGUGAACCAUCGAGUCUUUGAACGCAAGUUGCGCCCGAAGCCAUUAGGCCGAGGGCACGCCUGCCUGGGCGUCACACGUCGUUGCCCCCCCCAUCUACUCCUUCGGGAUUGCGGGGGGCGGAUGAUGGCCUCCCGUGUGCCUCGCCGCGCGGUUAGCAUAAAUGCCAAGUCCUCGGCGACGCACGCCACGACAAUCGGUGGUUGCGAAACCUCGGUUGCCCGUCGUGUGCGGUCGUCGCGCAUCGAGGGCUCGAAAAAAUUGCCGGGUUCCGGCUCGGCUUUCAACGCGACCCCAGGUCAGGCGGGGUUACCCGCUGAAUUUAAGCAUAUCAAUAAGCGGAGGA
rnacentral:misc_RNA from 1 species